AGUUUUAUUCUUGCUUGAAGGUUUAUUUAAUCUAAGUUUUACAUGUAAAUUUUGAUGUGAUUGUGAUAAAUUUAAAAAGUUAUUAGUUAUUCGCAGUAUUUAGAAUUAUAAAUUAAGGAAAUUUAGAUUUAGUUAAGGAUUUUUGUAUUGGUUAAAUUCGUGCCAGCUACCGCGGUUAUACGAUAAAUAUAAAUAAACUUUGUUAAUUUAAAGUUAAUAUGAGGGUUGAAAUGAGUAGAAUAUAUUUUAGGUAGAAUUUAGUUAUAUUUUGUGUUUCUUGAUUAAUUAUGAAGCUUUGAAACUUUAGGAGUAAACUAGGAUUAGAUACCCUAUUAUUGAAGUGUAAAUUAGAAUGUUGGAGUAGUAGUAGUUAAGGUCUUGAAACUUAAAGAAUUUGGCGGUGUUUUAGUCUAUUCAGAGGAAUCUGUUCUGUAAUCGAUAGUUCACGAUUUGAUGAACUUAAUUUAAUGAUUUGUAUACCGCCGUCAUCAGAAUAUUUUUAUAGAAAGUUUUCUUAAUACUUAAUUAGGUAAAAUGUCAGGUCAAGGUGCAGUUUAUAAUUAAGUAGAAAUGGAUUACAAUAAAGUUACUUUAAAUGGAUUUUUAUUUUUGAGGUAAAAUGAAAGUGGAUUUGAUAGUAAUUUUGUACUAAAUUUCAAUAUGAUUUUAGCUCUAGAACAUGUACACAUCGCCCGUCACUCUCAUUUUAAAAUGAGAUAAGUCGUAACAAAGUAGAUUUACUGGAAAGUGUAUCUAGAAUGU
rnacentral:ncRNA from 1 species